UUCGUUUUUUAUUUUCUUUUAGCGAUAAGAAUUAGGUCUGAAACUAUCCCUUAAAGACGAAAGUUGAGGUGCAAAUGUUUUCUCCGAACUUUGCAUCAUUUAUUUAAUAGAAACAGAAAAAGACAAAUAAUAUAUAAAGUAAGAGUAUAUCAAUAUGAAGUUGACAGCAGACAGGAAGGCAUAGUGAAUUUAAAUUAUUAAUAAUUGUUUCUGAAAUGAAACAGUAGAUGAAUGCGAAAACAUGUCGACAUCAGCGAUGGCAUCGAGUUAAGUACACAUUCUGUAGAGAUGCGCGGACACCAAUAUUAUUAAUAAAUAUUUAUAAAUUUUCAGACGUUUGUGUUUUUAAGGUUUUGGGUGAUGAUGAAAAAGUUUACGAUAAUUGGUUUUACAAUCUCGUUCAGGGUAAUGUUCUGGUAACGUGGACCAAACGGAUGUUGCUACGUACCUACUGUAAAUGAUGCGCAUUUUUAAUUUUUUAGGUUUAGGAAUAUUAACUAAUUUAUCAAUCAACGCAAACUAAUAUC